UCGCGGNCGGUCGCNCAGAAGGUUCUGGGCUCGAGCCUGCCUGGAAGCCGCCGCCGGUGCAGAUCUUGGUGGUAGUAGCAAAUACUCCAGCGAGGCCCUGGAGGACUGAUGUGGAGAAGGGUUUCGUGUGAACAGCCGUUGCACACGAGUCAGUCGACCCUAAGCCCUAGGAGAAAUCCGAAGCAGACGGCGAUGGGAAAAACGACAGACUCGGAGAGUAUGAAAGACUCGAGAGAGAGCGAAAGCAAAGCAGCCCAUUGAUCGGGCGAAAGGGAAUCCGGUUCCUAUUCCGGAACCCGGCAGCGGAACCGUUGUUUGUCGGGCCCUCACUGGGGGUUCGUCAGGGUAACCUAAAAGGGCCCGGAGACGCCGUCGGGAGCCCCGGAAAGAGUUUUCUUUUCUGCAUGAGCGUUCGAGUUCCCUGGAAUCCUCUCGCAGGGAGAUAGGGUUUGGAACGCGAAGAGCACCGCAGUUGCGGCGGUGCCCGGGAAUUCCCGACGGACCUUGAAAAUCCGGGAGAGGGCCACGUGGAGGUGUCGCGCCGGCUCGUACCCAUAUCCGCAGCAGGUCUCCAAGGGAAGAGCCUCUAGUC
rnacentral:rRNA from 1 species